GCCCCACGGCCAGCAGGCCCAGCAGGGCGACCUCCUUGAGGGAGGUCAGGUGCGUGACCUGGGCUCCGCACUCGGCGCGGGGCG
rnacentral:tRNA from 1 species